GACGAACGCUGGCGGCGUGCUUAACACAUGCAAGUCGAACGAGAGCGUAGAGAAAGCUUGCUUUUUCUACAAUCUAGUGGCAAACGGGUGAGUAACGCGUAAACAACCUGCCCUACGGAUGGGGACAACAGCUGGAAACGGCUGCUAAUACCGAAUACGUUCCGAAAGUCGCAUGACUAUCGGAAGAAAGGAUGGCCUCUAUUUAUAAGCUAUCGCCGGAGGAGGGGUUUGCGUCUGAUUAGCUAGUUGGAGGGGUAACGGCCCACCAAGGCGACGAUCAGUAGCCGGUCUGAGAGGAUGAACGGCCACAUUGGAACUGAGACACGGUCCAGAAUCCUACGGGAGGCAGCAGUGGGGAAUCUUCCGCAAUAGGCGAAAGCCUGACGGAGCAACGCCGCGUGAGUGAAGACGGCCUUCGGGUUGUAAAGCUCUGUUAUACGGGACGAAUAAUCUUGUGGUUAAUACCCAUGAGAAGUGACGGUACCGUAAGAGAAAGCCACGGCUAACUACGUG
rnacentral:rRNA from 1 species